rnacentral:rRNA from 1 species
AUUGAACGCUGGCGGCAUGCCUUACACAUGCAAGUCGAACGGCAGCACGGUUGGUUGUACCUCGUGGCGAGUGGCAGACGGGGGAGUAUUACAUCUGAACCUGUCUCGUCUUUGGGGAUAGGGCGACGAUAGCGAGAUUAAUACCAAAACCGCAUCCCGCAUGAAAGCGGGAGAACUUCAGCCCUCGCCCUAUCGGGUUGGCCGAUGGCUGAUUAGCUGUAUGGCGGGGUAAAGGCCUACCAAGGCGACGAUCAGUAGCUGGUCUGAGAGGACGAUCAGCCACACUGGGACUGAGACACGGCCCAGACUCCUACGGGAGGCAGCAGUGGGGAAUAUUGGACAAUGGGCGAAAGCCUGAUCCAGCCAUGCCGCGUGUGUGAAGAAGGCCUUCGGGUUGUAAAGCACUUUUGUUCGGAAAGAAAAGCUUGGCGCUAAUACAGAGGUGGGAUGACGGUACCCGAAGAAUAAGCACCGGCUAACUUCGUG